AAGCGAAUAGUAAAUCUGGUGGCUCAACCAUCAACCUAUUGUUCGAACUGCUCGUCUCGAGAAUGGUAGAGGUAGCUGGAAUUUCUUGUGUAGGAGUGAAAUCCGUAGAUAUAAGAAGGAACACCAAUGGCGUAGGCAGGCUACUGGACCAUUUCUGACGCUGAGGCACGAAAGCGUGGGGAGCGAACCGGAUUAGAUACCCGGGUAGUCCACGCCGUAAACUAUGGAUACUA
rnacentral:rRNA from 1 species